rnacentral:rRNA from 1 species
UACGGAGGGUGCAAGCGUUGUCCGGAAUCACUGGGCGUAAAGGGCGCGUAGGCGGCUCAUGAAGGCUGUGGUGAAAGUCCGGGGCUCAACCUCGGAUCGGCCGUGGCGACUCGUGGGCUGGAGCACUGUAGAGGCGGGUGGAAUUCCGGGUGUAGCGGUGGAAUGCGUAGAGAUCCGGAAGAACACCAGUGGCGAAGGCGGCCCGCUGGGCAGUGGCUGACGCUGAGGCUCGAAAGCAUGGGGAGCAAACAGG